UCGCUCUCUCGGCCAAACUCUCUCCUCUCCUCCGAAACUCUCUCCUCCCUUCUCUCUUCGAUCUCAACACCAUAGACCGUGAUUCCGGACGAAGUCCAAGAAUUAAAAUUGCUAUACGGAGCACGGGCUUUCCGAAUAUCCAAGAAAAAUCUUGAUCGGACCGCGUGGGAGCUCGGUUGACUUGGUCAAAGGGUCGGGUUUUGCUCAAAACCCAUGAGCUUGUGUAAAGAUUUCUCUACUGGGCGCGUGUUUGCUCAAACCUAUUAUCAUUUCAGGUACAACACAGGGGUAGUGAUAUGAAGUGCAUGGAGUGCAUCUUUGUAUAAAAAGGGGUUCUUUAGGAGCUACCUAUAUAUUUGAAAAUCAAAUUGUAUUGUAAUGUACUGGGAUGUCUUAAUUUGAAACAUUAUAUUUGUGGACAAAA